AGUCACUGACAUUAGAUACCCGCGUAGUCCCAGGGGUGUAAAACGCUGCAGACUUGGUGUUGGGAACCCUUCGGGGGUGCUCAGUGCCGGAGAGAAGUUGUUAAGUCUGCUACUUGGGGAGUACGUCCGCAAGGAUGAAACUUAAAGGAAAUUGGCGGGGGAGCACCGCAACGGGAGGAGCGUGCGGUUUAAUUGGAUUCAACGCCGAAAAACUCACCAGCAGCGACUGUUACAUGAAAGUCAGGUUGAUGACCUUACUAGAUUUUUCAG
rnacentral:rRNA from 1 species